rnacentral:rRNA from 1 species
UGCGUAGGCGGGCUAAUAAGUCAGCGGUGAAAUCUCUCGGCUCAACCGGGAAACUGCCAUUGAUACUGUUAGUCUUGAGUUCGGUUGAGGUAGGCGGAAUGUGUAAUGUAGCGGUGAAAUGCUUAGAUAUUACACAGAACACCAAUUGCGUAGGCAGCUUACUAGACCGACACUGACGCUGAGGCACGAAAGCGUGGGGAGCGAACAGGAUUAGAUACCCUGGUAGUCC